rnacentral:rRNA from 1 species
UACGAAGGGGGCGAGCGUUGUCCGGAAUCAUUGGGCGUAAAGAGCGCGUAGGCGGCCAGAUAAGUCCGGUGUGAAAGUCAAAGGCUCAACCUUUGAAUGCCGCUGGAAACUGUCUGGCUAGAGUCCGGGAGGGGCGAGUGGAAUUCCUGGUGUAGCGGUGAAAUGCGCAGAUAUCAGGAGGAACACCGAUGGCGAAGGCAGGUCUCUGGGCCGAUACUGACGCUGAGGAGCGAAAGCGUGGGGAGCGAACAGG